rnacentral:rRNA from 1 species
UACGGGGGGGGCAAGCGUUGUUCGGAAUUACUGGGCGUAAAGGGCUCGUAGGUGGCCAACUAAGUCAGACGUGAAAUCCCUCGGCUUAACCGGGGAACUGCGUCUGAUACUGGAUGGCUUGAGUUUGGGAGAGGGACGCGGAAUUCCAGGUGUAGCGGUGAAAUGCGUAGAUAUCUGGAGGAACACCGGUGGCGAAGGCGGCGUCCUGGACCAACACUGACACUGAGGAGCGAAAGCAAGGGGAGCAAACGGG